rnacentral:rRNA from 1 species
UCCGCAGGCGGGCAAUUAAGUCAGGGGUGAAAUGGUGCGGCUCAACCGUAGCACUGCCCUUGAUACUGGUUGUCUUGAGUCAUAGUGAAGUGGCCGGAAUAUGUAGUGUAGCGGUGAAAUGCAUAGAUAUUACAUAGAACACCGAUUGCGAAGGCAGGUCACUAACUAUCGACUGACGCUGAUGGACGAAAGCGUGGGUAGCGAACAGGAUUAGAUACCCUGGUAGUCC